rnacentral:rRNA from 1 species
CAAGUCGAGGGGCAGCAUAAUGGAUAGCAAUAUCUAUGGUGGCGACCGGCGCACGGGUGCGUAACGCGUAUGCAACCUACCUUUAACAGGGGGAUAACCGGGAGAAAUUCCGACUAAUACCGCAUACGUCCUUUGGGGGCAUCCCCGGGGGAUGAAAGAGUUAUCGGUGAAGGAUGGGCAUGCGUGAUAUUAGGUAGUUGGCGGGGCAACGGCCCACCAAGCCUACGAUAUCUAGGGGUUCUGAGAGGAAGGUCCCCACAUUGGUACUGAGACACGGACCAAACUCC